rnacentral:lncRNA from 12 species
GAAAUUCCUGGCAUAUUCCAGAACCAAGACAUUUGAAGGUCCCUCGGUGGCUGAAAAUGGGACUGAACCUUUCUUGAAGAUUUCCUUUUUAACCAUGGCAGGAAGACUGGGAUUGUGACAAGAGGAAGGGGAAACACAGAAGAACAGUUAGUAGCAGUAAGUUUUCUCAUGUUUAGAAAUAGCCUCUCUGUGCGAAAACAAUUGUCAGCAGCUUUCAGCAAUCUCAGUGAUGGGUUUUGUUUUCUCAGACCUGACCACCCCCUGUUCAUCAGUCUUUUCACAGGCAUCAGUCAUGAGUCUGAGUCUCUCAGCAUACCCAUGCUGAGCUGUCAUUAAUCAGUCUGCACUUUGGAAACUGCUUAUGAGUCUGCUUAUGGCACAGUUUAGGCAGCAGGGACCAGCUCUAUUUCAGCUUAUUAAGAAUGGUUCUACUCUGCACAGUUCUGUUCUGCAUGAGGAAUCAUCAACGAUUAUAUUGUGGUUAUUACAUAUGAAAAUGGAAGAAAACAACAGCUUCUUUCACACUCAGAUGUAAAGUAGAGGUGAAAGGAAAGGUUUAGUUGCAGUAACCUUCGCUGCUUCAGCUAUUUG